GUAAAAAUUAAGACCACACCUGGACAGAGACCAUGUAAAAAGAGCCAAGACACAGGGCACGCUUCAGAAGUUCUGAGGAGGAUGACACCAGUGUGGGAGGUGGGACAUCCAACGGGUCUUUGGAACUGAUGGGUGACUGUAUCCAACCCAACACAAUACGCUUACAAGUAAUCUACCACAAUCGACAUUAUGUGGCUUGCUUAUUUCUUUAAUUUGAAGAGCUCCUAAUUUAAGCCUUCUGCUAAAUAUUCAGGUUCAAAAUGCUGGCAACUGAUAUUACCAACAAGAGAAAUCAUAAAAUGGGUAGGGGAAUAAGGGGGUUUGGGAAACAGUGAUCCUGGAUCACUAGAAGGAGGAAAUAUUCCAAGGAUGACAAGAAUUACAUUCAAGGGCCCAGCUGCAACAUGGACUCAAGCUGAAACUACACAAUUUCAGUAUCAAAUAUUUGAGAGAAGUUACCGUAAAAACUUUCACACACAGUUCUGUCCAGGCUCAUUUGUGACCCUCAGGCUUUCCUAUCCUGAAUCCAGGAAAAGGGAAUGAUCUCUAUCCACCAACAAAGCAAUUUAAAUCCAGGAACUGGCAGCAGCCAGAAAAACACAGCCUCGGGUCCAGGACAAUCCUUCCCUGUUAUCUUAAGCUAAGGAAUUUGUAGGCUUAGUAAGAAGAAAAAUAUCAGAAGCAACAUAUGUUUUUCAUUUAACUAUCACCUAGUUUUAUAAGGGCAAUUUAAAAAGAAAAUUAUAGAGGUAAUUUAAAAAGAAAAGUUUGGUAUUUGAUAAUUCUCAGUGGGCUGAAAAACUCAUUUAAGUUGCUUUCAUAACAUAAAAGGAUGAUAUGUAAGGCUCUGCUGUUCUGAGGCUGCUUCACCCACAGCGGUGGCUAUAAAUGAAGGUAACUGUGGGCACAAGUCCAAGUACAAAGUGCAUGAUUUUGAGGUUGAACAGAGUGAAUCGGUCCUUCAGGAACCAAGGCAAGAGUGGAGAGGCCCGUCUGCAGUUGAGGAUAAGAAGGCCUGGGAAUCUAAGGGCAAAGUUAGGCCCAGCCUAGCGCCAAAGGGUGAAAACAGCAAUGCGUUCAGAAGCCUGCGGUCUCAGCAGUCAGGCCAGGCCCCAGGGAACAAAAAGCUGGCACCUGCUCAGGAAGCAGAGUUAUUUUUCGUGUGGAGGUCACCAGGACCCUGCUUGCCUAAUCCUCCACACACUUGGGCCCCCUGACUGGCCAGGUAAAGCGACCUCUGAUCAGACUGGGCGGACAGAGCUGAAGGUGGGCCCCAGGGAGAGCUGGGUGUCAGGUGGCCAGAUGGGGGCAGGCUCUGGCUCACUGUUGUUAUUGUCCUCCAGGGCUCACUCAGACAGUGGCCUCAGAGGUUCACAGUAAAUGCCCCCAAACCCACACUAACCAAAGCCUGGUUCCACUUCUCUAGAUUUUUACUAAAAUAAGCCACACGAGGCCGGAGCAUCACUACUGCUCUUUAAAUACAAGAAAAUGUCCAGGCUUCUGUUUGCUCAUCUGCAAAAUGAGGGGAUUAGGCUAGAUAAACAAAGGCUGCUUCCAGGCCCCAAACUGCUGGGUAAUUGAGUGUGCUAGAACCAGAGACCAUGGUUUGGGCUCUAGACAACCUAUCAAGUGGUCACUGCCUCUGCCUCCUCCUGGGGACCACUUCAAGUUCCCUCUUCUCUCUGUCCUCCCAGUGGCUGGCUGCUAAGGCCAACUGAGCCGACCCUCCCACAGCCACAGCCAUGCAGGACAGCCAAGGCCAAGAGGAAGGACCUGACUGACACCCAGGAAGACUACAUGGUUUGUCCAAGGGCACAGCACUGACAACAUGGGCUUCCUGACACUGAGGCCCGAUGCCCGGCAGGGUGCCUUUUCAAACAUGCCACACACGCUCUUUAUUCCUGCUUUGUCCCAGCUUUUGUACCUGCCCUCUGUGCUCCGUCAUGGACAGCUCACUUACAAGCUAAGACCUCAGUUCUCAACCAGCAGCAUGUGACUGGCCGCACUGAGAAAUGAAAGGUCUCAUUAUCCAUCUGACAAUCUGGUACCAUAUAAAAUGGCUAGCCUCCUGCCCUCUACUCCUGAAACUCAAUUAUACCCAGGCUCAAAAAAAGAGACAAGCUUCUCUCAAGCCCUCAGGAACUGAAAGGCCAAAAAAGAAAGCUUCCUUCUCAACAGUCUCUUUUUCCCAUAGUUCCAGCAGACUACAAAGCCCUUGGGUUUUAACACUGACCCCCCAAGCCUUGUGAUGGGAAGGAGAGCUGUAGCUCAUGUUGUCGCCAGGCUCCCAUAGGUAUGAUUUCGUGCUGGAGAGGUGUUUAAGCAAAAGUCUGACAUGAUCAAAGUGGUACACAAAAUUAAUCACGUCCCGUCCCAGAAUGGAUGAGGGUGGCAGAGGCAACAUGGAAAAACAGGUCUGGAGUCUGGUUGUCUGGGAAGGCAGGCUCCAUUAUCAGGCUCACAAUUCUGCUGAACACAACUAACAAUGAAUACAUUGAAAAAAAAUUUCUGAAUGGCUGGGCACGGUGGCUCACACCUGUAAUCCCAGCUACUAGGGAGGCUGAGGCACAAGAAUUGCUUGAAUCCAUGAAACAGAGGUUUCAGUGAGCUGAGACUGUGGCACUGCACCCCAGCGUGGGUGACAAAGUGAGACUCUGACUCCAGAAAAAAAAAAGUCUGAAAGGCUUUGAAGCUUCAAGAACUGAGCAAGGAAUAACAGUACAGAAACUAAAGAAAACAGGAACCCCGAGGUAUGAGCUCUAGAGAAGCCACCUUGCCCUCAAGCAUUGGCCUAGCCUAGUCUGGCAAAGGACACUUUCACUUUUUUUUUUUUUUUUUUUUUUUUUUUUUUAAAGACAGAGUCUUGCUCUGUCACCCAGCCUGGAGUGCAGUGGCACAAUCUCGGCUCAUUGCAACCUCCGCCUCCCAGGUUCAAGUGAUUCUCCUGCCUCGGGCUCCCCAGUAGCUGGGACUACAGACGCCCGCCACCACACCUGGCUAAUUUUUGUAUUUUUAGUAGAAAUGGGGUUUCACCAUAUUGGCCAGGCUGGUCUUGAACUCCUGACCUUGUGAUCCACCAAUCUUGGCCUCCCAAAGUGCUGGGAUUACAGGUGUGAGCCACCACACCCGGCAGCCUUUCACUUUAACAGCCUCCUGAGCAGAAGUCAACAUCCAGGGCUGGCCAGCGUGGAACACCAACUGGAGACUCUUCCUCAAGGAGCCGGGACCCCAAAGGACUACAGCUACUAGGUAACAGGUGAACCAGAAGCAAACCAGGCCUCACUUAGACUGGAGGCCUAGGUUUGCCUCCUCUGAAAGAACCAGGGAAUCUCAACCAUGAGCUUCUUCCAAGGUGGUCUUGGACCAGAAAUACCUCCAGGGACCUGGCAGAAGAAAUUCUCUCCCCACGAAAGCAAAGCACUUUCACCCGAAGCCUCAAGUUAUUCCGAGAAAUACUUUCUCAAAUACAAUGAAUGGUAAGCACAUAACCAAAGGUAACCAAGCAGAUGAGGAAACAAGACUAAGGACCAGCAGAAAUAGAAUAUAACAGAAAAAUAAGGACUUCAGAUAAUGGAAUUAUCAGGCAUAGAUUUGUUUUUACAAGUAUGCAUCAAGAUGAGUUUAAAAUACCUACAGGGAGUCCAGGCACAGUGGCUCACGCCUGUAAUCCCAGCACUUUGGGAGGCUGAGGUGGGUGGAUCCCUUGAGGUCAGGAAUUCGAGACCAGCCUGGCCAACAUGGCAAAACCUCAUCUCUACUAAAAAUACAAAAAUCAGCUGGACGUGGUGGCGCAUGCCUGUAAUUCAAGCUACUCAGGAGGCUGAGACACAAGAAUCGCUUGAAACUGAGAGAAGGAGGUUUCAGUAAGGCAAGAUUGGGCCACUGCACUCCAGCCUGGGCAACAGAGUGAGACUCCAUCUCAUCAAAUAAAAUAAAAUAAAAUAAAAUAAAAUAAAAUAAAAUAAAAUAUCUAAAGGGAGAAUUACAGGCAAGCAGACCAGUUUUAAGGCUAUUCUGGCAGCCAAAGCAUGAUGUAAGAAAUGCCUAAACUAGAGGAGUGGAUGUGGAGCUGGCAAGAAAAGGCAGAUGGAAAGAGAAGGAAAAGAAUGAAGCAACAGGACCAGAUGGAAGGUUGGAAAGGAAAAGAAAACAUGAGGAACAGUCCAAAUUGACUUAAGUCACUAAAGAGAUAAGUCUAGUUCCUGUGAAGGCAGGCAGGGGAGAUAAGGGACGUGGUACACAGGUAAUGCUCCUCCCCUACCCCACUCAGAGACGUCCACAUCCUAGUCCCUAAAACCUGUGAAUCUGUUACUUCCCAUGGCAACAGAGAUUUUGCAGAUAUGAUUGAGAUGGAAAGAUUAUCCUGGAUUGCCUGGGUGGGCCCAAUGUAAUCACAAGUGCCCUUAAAAGAUAUGAGGAAGGCAGAAACUCAGAGAAGGCGAUGUGAAACAGAAGCAGACAUCAGAGUAAUGAGAGCAAGGAGCAUGACCCAAGGAAUGCAGGUGGCCUAUGGAGGGGAAGAAAAUAUCUGCAAAUCAUUUAUCUGAUAAGGGGUUAAUAUCCAGAAAAUGUAAAGAACUCUAAUAACAAACAACUUGACACCUUAUACAAAAAUUAACUCAAGAUGGAUUAAAGACUUAAACGGAAAACCCAAAAACUAUAAAAACCCUAGAAGAAAAUCUAGGCAAUACCAUUCAUGACAUAGGCACAGACAAAGAUUUCAUGAUGAAAACGUCAAAAGCAAUUGCAACAAAAGCAAAAACUGACAAAUGGAAUCUCAUUAAACUAAAGAGCUUCUGUGCAGCAAAAUAAACUAUCAUCAGAGUGAACAGGCAACCUACAGAAUGGGAGAAAAUUUUUGUAAUCUAUCCAUCUGACAAAGGUCUAAUAUCCAGAAUCUACAAGGAACCUAAACAAACGUACAAGAAAAAAACAACCCCAUUAAAAAGUGGGCAAAGGACAUGAACAGACAUUUCUCAAAAGAAGACAUUUAUGCAGCAAAAAAAAUAUGAAAAAAAGCUAAAUAUCACUGAUCAUUAGAGAAAUGCAAAUCAAAACCACAAUGAGAUACCAUCUCACACCAGUCAGAUGACAAUUAUUAAAAAGUCAAGAGAAAACAGAUGCUGGUGAGACUGUGGAGAAAUAGGAAUGCUUUUACACUGUUGGUGGGAAUAUAAAUUAGUUCAACCAUUGUGGAAGACAGUGUGGCAAUUCCUCAAAGACCUAGAACCAGAAAUACCAGUUGACCCAGCAAUGCCAUUACUGGGUAUAUACCCAAAGGAAUAUAAAUCAUUCUCUUAUAAAGAUACAUGCACACAUACGUUCACUGCACCACUAUUCACAAUAGUAAAGACACAGAAUCAACCCAAAUGCCCAUCAAUGAUAGACUGGACUAAAAAAAUGUGGUAUAUAUACACCAUGGAAUACUAUGCAGCCAUAAAAAGAAAUGAGAUCAUGUCCUUUCCAGGGACAUGGAUGGAGCUAGAAGCCAUUAUCCUCAGCAAACUAACACAGUAACAGAAAACCAAACACUGCAUGUUCUUACUUAUAAGUGGGACCUGAACAAUGAGAACACUUGGACACAGAGAAGGGAAUAACACACACUGGGGCCUGUCAGGGGGCAGGGGGCAGGAAGAGGGAGAGCAUCAGGAUAAAUAGCUAAUGCAUGUGGGGGUUAACACCUAGGUUGACAGGUGCAGCAAACAAGCAUGGCACACAUUUACCUAUGUUAACAAACCUGCAAGUCCUGCACAUGUAUCCUGGAACUUAAAAUUAAAUUACAUUUUUAAAAAAAUGGGCAAAGGACUUGAAAGGACAGUUCUCCAAAAAGAUAUACAAAUGGGCAACAAGCACAUGGAAAGAUGCUCAACAUCACUAGUUAUUAGGAAAAUGCAAUUAAAACCGCAAUGAGAUAUCACCCCACAUCCAUUAGGAUGACUACAAUUAAAAAAGAAGAAAAGAAGUGUUGGCAAGGUUGUACAGAGAUUAGAGUUUUUGUGCACUAUUGGCAAGACUGUAAAAUGGCGCAACUGGUAUGGAAGUUUCUCAAAAGUUAAAAAUAGAACUACCAUAUAAUCCUCCAAUCCCACUUCUGGGUAUAUAUCCAAAAGAAUUGAAAGCAGGGUCUCAAAAAGAUAUUUGCACACCCAUGUUCACAGUGGCAUUUCAGACAAUGGCCAAGAGGUGGAAGCAACCCAAGUGUCCACUGACAGAUGAAUGGACAAACACAAGGGAAUAUUAUUCAGCCUUAAAAGGAAGGAAAUCCUGUCACAUGCUACUACAUGGAUGAACCUUGAGGACAUUAUGCUAACGAAAUAAGCUGACUAGUCACAUAAAGACAAAUACUGUAUGAUUCCACUUACAAGAGGUAUCUAAAGUAGUCAAAUUCAUAGCAACAGAAAGGAAAAUGAAGAGUUCCAUGGGCUGGCAGAGGAGGAAAUGGGGAGAUGUUGUUUAAUGGAUACAGAAUUUCAGUUUUAUAAGAUGAAAAAGUUCUGGAGAUUGGUUGUAUAACAAUGUGAAUAUACUUAAUACUACCGAACUUAAAAAUGGUUAAGAUGGUAAAAUUUUGCUAUACGUAUUUUAUCAUAAUUAAAAAUAAAAUUUGAAGGCCAGUAUAUGUGCAGGUUAGUUACAUUUUAAAAAGCAAAAAUUGGUCAGGCGCGGUGGCUCACGCUUGUAAUCUCAGCACUUUGGGAGGCUGAGGUGGGUGGAUCACCAGGUCAAGAGAUUGAGACCAUCCUGGCCAACAUGGUGAAACCCGUCUCUACUAA
rnacentral:lncRNA from 1 species